rnacentral:rRNA from 1 species
UACGUAGGUGACAAGCGUUGUCCGGAUUUACUGGGCGUAAAGAGCGCGCAGGCGGUCGAUCAAGUCGAGUGUGAAAGCCCCCGGCUCAACUGGGGAGGGUCAUUCGAUACUGAUCGACUCGAAGGCAGGAGAGGGUAGUGGAAUUCCGGGUGUAGCGGUGGAAUGCGUAGAGAUCCGGAAGAACACCGGUGGCGAAGGCGGCCCGCUGGGCAGGAAGGGGUGGGUAACCACCCCGGCUGACACUGAGGCGCGACAGCGUGGGGAGCAAACAGG